AUUGAACGCUGGCGGCAUGCCUUACACAUGCAAGUCGAACGGCAGCACGGGUGCUUGCACCUGGUGGCGAGUGGCGAACGGGUGAGUAAUACAUCGGAACAUGUCCUGUAGUGGGGGAUAGCCCGGCGAAAGCCGGAUUAAUACCGCAUACGAUCUACGGAUGAAAGCGGGGGACCUUCGGGCCUCGCGCUAUAGGGUUGGCCGAUGGCUGAUUAGCUAGUUGGUGGGGUAAAGGCCUACCAAGGCGACGAUCAGUAGCUGGUCUGAGAGGACGACCAGCCACACUGGGACUGAGACACGGCCCAGACUCCUACGGGAGGCAGCAGUGGGGAAUUUUGGACAAUGGGCGAAAGCCUGAUCCAGCAAUGCCGCGUGUGUGAAGAAGGCCUUCGGGUUGUAAAGCACUUUUGUCCGAAAGAAAUCCUUGGCCCUAAUACGGUCGGGGGAUGACGGUACCGGAAGAAUAAGCACCGGCUAACUACGUG
rnacentral:rRNA from 1 species